rnacentral:sRNA from 1 species
AACCUAACCCGUAGAUUCUGAGGAUUUGCGGUAUGGUCACAUAAAGCCCACGCGAGUAGAAACGGCCAUAUAAGCCGGCAUUCACUCGCGUGGGUCUGUACCUCGAAAGGGAUACAGGAUAGUUCCGAAAGGGCUAUC